ACAGUGCCCGGCCGAGCUCAGAUUUGAAAUCGUGUUUCGGCACGAGUUGUAGAGUGUAGGCGGGAGUCUCUGUGGAGCGCGGUGUCCAAGUCCCUUGGAACAGGGUGCCUGAGAGGGUGAGAGCCCCGUAAGGUGCUGCGCGAAGCUUUUGAGGCCCUGCUGACCAGUCGAGUUGUUUGGGAAUGCAUCUCCAAUCGGGUGGUAAAUUCCAUCUAAGGCUAAAUAUUGGCGAGAGACCGAUAGCGAACAAGUACUGUGAAGGAAAGAUGAAAAGCACUUUGAAAAGAGAGUGAAACACCACGUGAAAUUGUUGAAAGGGAAGGGUAUUGGGCUCGACAUGGGGGGUGCGCACCGCUGUCUCUUGUAGGCGGCGCUCUGGGCGCCCUCUGGGCCAGCAUCGGUUCCUGCUGCGGGAGAAGGGGCUCCGGAAAGUGGCUCUUCGGAGUGUUAUAGCCGGGGCCAGAUGCCGCGUGUGGGGACCGAGGACUGCCGCUUCUGUCUCGGAUGCUGGCAUAACGGC
rnacentral:rRNA from 1 species